rnacentral:tRNA from 1 species
GGUGGGUUGCCCGAGCGGCCCAAGGGAACGGUCUUGAAAACCGCUACCCCAGGUCCGACACCUGCACCCUGCG